AGGGGCAGCGGGGAAGAGAGCUUGCUCUCUUCUGCCGGCGACCGGCGCACGGGUGAGUAACACGUAUGCAACCUGCCCUUGACACUGGGAUAACCCGGAGAAAUCCGGACUAAUACCGGGCGACACCUUCGGAGGGCAUCCUCCUUAGGUCGAAGGAAGCGAUUCCGGUCAAGGAUGGGCAUGCGGCGCAUUAGCUAGUUGGCGGGGUAACGGCCCACCAAGGCGACGAUGCGUAGGGGUUCUGAGAGGAAGGUCCCCACAUUGGUACUGAGACACGGACCAAACUCC
rnacentral:rRNA from 1 species